rnacentral:rRNA from 1 species
AAAGAAAAUAACAAUGAUUCCCCUAGUAACGGCGAGCGAAGAGGGAAUAGCUCAAAUUUUAAAUCUGUUGGGUCUUACCUAACCGAGUUGUAAUUUGAAGAAACGUUUUCUGCGUGUUUGAUUUAGCCCAAAUCCUUUGGGAUAAGGUAUCAUGGAGGGUGAGAAUCCCGUCCGGCCUAAUCAAAUGUGCUUUACGAUACGUUUUCUAAGAGUCGAGUUGUUUGGGAUUGCAGCUCAAAAUGGGAGGUAAAUUUCUCCUAAGGCUAAAUAUAGGCGAGAGACCGAUAGCGAACAAGUACCGUGAGGGAAAGAUGAAAAGAACUUUGAAAAGAGAGUUAAAACAGUACGUGAAAUUGUUGAAAGGGAAACGAUUAAAGUCAGUCGUACUAACGGGGAAUCAACCUUUUGAGGGUGGAAUUGUGGGAUUCAGAGUGCCUUUGUCUUUCACAACCUGCUUUUUUGGGUGCACUUUCUCGUAUUGUAGGUCAGCAUCGGUUUCGACCGUUAUAAAAUGACUGGAGGAAUGUAGCUUCGAUCUCGUAUUGAAGUGUUAUAGCCUUUGGUAGAUGUAACGGUUGGGAUCGAGGAUUGCAAUGAAUACCCUCAUGGGCUAUCUGCCUGGCCUCUGACAUGUCACUCUGGUGCCGAAAGCUUGCUUAUGGUAUUAUAGUGUACGGUCAAAAGGUUAGAACGGAUUAAAUU